rnacentral:rRNA from 1 species
GAUGAACGCUGGCGGCGUGCCUAAUACAUGCAAGUCGAGCGAACGGACGAGAAGCUUGCUUCUCUGAUGUUAGCGGCGGACGGGUGAGUAACACGUGGAUAACCUACCUAUAAGACUGGGAUAACUUCGGGAAACCGUAGCUAAUACCGGAUAAUAUUUUGAACCGCAUGGUUCAAAAGUGAAAGACGGUCUUGCUGUCACUUAUAGAUGGAUCCGCGCUGCAUUAGCUAGUUGGUAAGGUAACGGCUUACCAAGGCAACGAUGCAUAGCCGACCUGAGAGGGUGAUCGGCCACACUGGAACUGAGACACGGUCCAGACUCCUACGGGAGGCAGCAGUAGGGAAUCUUCCGUAAAGGGCGAAAGCCUGGCGGAGCAACGCCGCGUGAGUGAUGAAGGUCUUCGGAUUGUAAAACUCUGUUAUUAGGGAAGAACAUAUGUGUAAGUAACUGUGCACAUCUUGACGGUACCUAAUCAGAAAGCCACGGCUAACUACGUG